rnacentral:rRNA from 1 species
ACGCCGCGUGAGGGACGAAGGCCUCUGGGCUGUAAACCUCUUUUCUCAAGGAGGAAGAUAUGACGGUACUUGAGGAAUAAGCCACGGCUAAUUCCGUGCCAGCAGCCGCGGUAAUACGGGAGUGGCAAGCGUUAUCCGGAAUUAUUGGGCGUAAAGCGUCCGCAGGCGGCCCUUCAAGUCUGCUGUUAAAGCGUGGAGCUUAACUCCAUCAUGGCAGUGGAAACUGAUUGGCUUGAGUAUGGUAGGGGCAGAGGGAAUUCCCGGUGUAGCGGUGAAAUGCGUAGAUAUCGGGAAGAACACCAGUGGCGAAGGCGCUCUGCUGGGCCAUUACUGACGCUCAUGGACGAAAGCCAGGGGAGCGAAAGGGAUUAGAUACCCCUGUAGUCCUGGCCGUAAACGAUGAACACUAGGUGUCGGGGGAAUCGACCCCUUCGGUGUCGUAGCUAACGCGUUAAGUGUUCCGCCUGGGGAGUACGCACGCGAGUGUGAAACUCAAAGGAAUUGACGGGGGCCCGCACAAGCGGUGGAGUAUGUGGUUUAAUUCGAUGCAACGCGAAGAACCUUACCAGGGCUUGACAUCCUGCGAACCUUUAAGAAAUUAAAGGGUGCCUUCGGGAACGCAGUGACAGGUGGUGCAUGGCUGUCGUCAGCUCGUGUCGUGAGAUGUUGGGUUAAGUCCCGCAACGAGCGCAACCCACGUUUUUAGUUGCCAGCAUUUAGUUGGGCACUCUAGAAAGACCGCCGGUGAUAAACCGGAGGAAGGUGUGGAUGACGUCAAGUCAUCAUGCCCCUUACGUCCUGGGCUAC